rnacentral:lncRNA from 1 species
GAUCUCAGUGGGAGGGUGGGAUCAUAUAUAGAUGUAGUCCUGGUGACUUCUAAGGUAUUAGUGUUAUCUCAUUCCAGACUCAUAUUAUAGGAAGCUGGAGAGAAUUGUGGUCUAUUUUAAUAACCAAAUUAAGUCAUAUCUGCCCUCUCCAAUUAUGAAGGUAAAGCUGUCUCCCAGCAUGCAAAUACAUCUUCUACCUCUAAGUUAAAUCUCCUCCUUGUCUAUGGCAGUUCCUAUCUCUCUCACUGGAGGCUGAUUUUUGAAGAAAGGGGUUGUAGCCUAAAAGAUGAUGGUGUUAAGUCUUCUGUACCUGUUGACAGCCCUUCCGGGUGAGUGUUUCCAUUUCAUACAUGUGCCAUGAGGAUUUUUCAAAAUGUGUGAUUGACAGAAUUGAUUCUUUUUGUCUGAAGGUAUCCUGUCA